rnacentral:lncRNA from 1 species
UAAUACUAUUUUAAAAUGGGGAAAGCUUCUACAAGCACCUUGGUCAGUUCCAGGUGUAGAAGUUACAUAGUAGAUCAGAACCACAACUUUUAACUUCAACAAGUAGUACCAAAACAAGCAUCUACAUUGUAUAAAAUAACAACACAACACUAGCAUACUUGAAAGGUGUUUAUACCACACUACUAACAAAUCACAACACAGACUUACUUGCAGCACUGAGGAAUAACUUCUUCUCAGUAAAGUCACAACUUGAAGCAGUUUUUCUUAUGAAAAACAAAACAAAACAAAAAACACAGAAGUUUUCUUCAACAAAACACCACUAGCAUUCUGUUAUCUCAAUACCAGUGAGGCACAGCAGGAGAUACUUAGGCCAUAUGUUGUACGGCUGCUCUGUGUUAUUAUCUGCCUCACCUGGUAAGGGUGAGGUAAAACUAUUUCCCUCCUUUUCCACUGUUCAAAAGAGCUUAACAAAGUCUGAGGAAAAUGCCUUGACUCUCCUUAUCCUGUAAUGGGGGAUGCACCCUGCCAUCAUGUUAUCUCACUGUGCUCUGCAGUGGAAGUUUCCAGAAAGCACUGAGCAGGGCAGGGCUGUGCUGCUAGGCCUAGGUGAAAUGGCGGCGUUUCCACAACCUGCACAGGCUGUGAGGAGCACUUCAGUCUGUGACACCACAGGAAAGCUCACUGUGAAGGAGAAUACCACCUUGCUUUGCUGCUUUGUCGCUGCUAAUGACAUAAACUGCACAAAUCCUCUGAAUUGCAUACAUGAUCUGUAGCUUCUCUGAAAACAAGACCUGCUGUUCAAGAAGUGGCCAUACAGAGUAGUUAAAAGACCACCUGUACUCGAAGCUGGCAUUUGAAUGAGCCCAAGACUACCAGGCCUAUUUUGGAUCCACUCAAAAGGAAAAUCCAACAAAU